GUAAAGAGCAGUCUGUCCACAGGGGAAGAGAGAUUAUCAGGUGUGCAGUCCUUGUAAGAUGUAAGGGUAGGAUGUGUGCAGUAGCUGUGGUGUAAAAAGGUGAACAGGGUGAAUUCAAUGCAAAUGCAAGCUGUGGCCACAGUGGUAUUAGAGUUUCGGAACCAUAAAUCCUAAAUAUAUCCCGUGAAGAUCCUUCCCUGCUGCUGUCACGCCAGCCUCCUAUUGCUGAUGCAUUAGGGUAGAUAGAUACAGAACAGAAAAACCGAGGGCAGCGCUUCUCGUAAUGCAAAAU